rnacentral:misc_RNA from 1 species
GGGCUAUGUAGUGGGCUGCAUCGAUGUGGAGUUUACUUUUCUUUCCUUGGGUGGAAUUUGUGUUUAGUAUUUAAGCAUGGUUCUUGUUGUUUGCCGUGUUGGGGGCUUGUUCUUGUCUCCUUUAGCUUGUUGUUUGGCGUGCUUACAUAUGGUUAUUUAGGUCCUGUAUUUUGUGUCUUGGUCUAUUGUUUCUUCUUGAUGUUUUUCACUUAGUAUUUUUCUCUUUAGGUUGGAUCUUUG